AUUGAACGCUGGCGGCAUGCCUUACACAUGCAAGUCGAACGGUAACAGGUCUUCGGAUGCUGACGAGUGGCGAACGGGUGAGUAAUACAUCGGAACGUGCCUAGUAGUGGGGGAUAACUACUCGAAAGAGUGGCUAAUACCGCAUGAGAUCUACGGAUGAAAGCAGGGGAUCGCAAGACCUUGUGCUACUAGAGCGGCCGAUGGCAGAUUAGGUAGUUGGUGGGAUAAAAGCUUACCAAGCCGACGAUCUGUAGCUGGUCUGAGAGGACGAUCAGCCACACUGGGACGGAGACACGGCCCAGACUCCUACGUGAGGCAGCAGUGGGGAAUUUUGGACAAUGGGCGCGAGCCUGAUCCAGCAAUGCCGCGUGCAGGAUGAAGGCCUUCGGGUUGUAAACUGCUUUUGUACGGAACGAAAAGCCCUGGGUUAAUACCCUGGGGUCAUGACGGUACCGUAAGAAUAAGCACCGGCUAACUACGUGCCAGCCGCCGCCGUAACAC
rnacentral:rRNA from 1 species